CGACGCUCCCACCCCACUCCUCUUCCCCUCCUCGGGCAGCCCAGUCGUCGUCACGACCGAGGACCAGAGAUGCGGGCGGGGAGCUCGAGGCGGAGGAGCAGCAGCAGCAGCGGCGGCGGCGAGUCGGGGCAAGGCCAGCACCAAGGACCGGAUCUCGCUCCUGUCGCCUCCCGUGGAUGCCCGCGCGGGCCUCCGGCGGAGCUAGGCCCCGCGCUCCUGUUCGUCGGCGCCUGCGCUUGGGAGAAUCAAGGGCUGGCUCGCGCCGACGCGGCGCCGUGGCGAGAUCCGGCCGGGCACUCUCCGGGAUGCGGGGGCUGUCGGUCUUCAUCAGCGACAUUCGCAACUGCCACAACAAGGAGCAGGAGCGCCUCCUCGUUGACAAGGAGCUCGGCAACAUCCGCAACCGCUUCAAGAACGAAAAGAUUGGCAAGGUCGGUGGUGAGAAGUGGAAGUCCCGAGUGAUGCUAGGAGGAAGCAAACUUGCUGAAGCAAACUUGACCGGCAAGAAGGGAUCCCUCGAGCGACGAAUGGGUGCUAUGCGAGCUGUACAAUAAGAAGAACAACUGGGAGAAGGUCAAGGUGGAGCAGGACAUGGCUGUGGAGGCAUGGCCUGGAUGCUCGUCAACCUUGGCCACUUCAUGAUUGCAUACCACUUCUUCCACUGGAAGAAGGGAACUCCAUUCGCUGAUGAUCAGGGGAUGUAUAAUAGAUUGACUUGGUGGGAGCAAAUGGACAACGGCAAGGAGCUUACUCGCAAUAGAAAAUUUCUUGUUGUGGUUCCUGUAGUCCUGUAUGUGUUAUUCUGUUUCAAUUUUAUUAAUACUGCUUUUGGGAGCUUACUGGGCAAGGAACAACAUGGCAGGAUGUAUGCACAAAGAUUGAUUCUGGCUAGUCAGAAAUACUACACUUAUGCAUUAAUUAUGCAAAUAACACGUGUUAGUAACAUCUAGGUCUAACUUGCAUAUUCAUGCCAUUAGACAUGUGUAAGGAUUGGGCAUUGCUCUAUUGCUCUAUUCACACCAUUAUACAUGUGUAAAAAUUGUUCAAUUAACUUCAUUAUCUUUAAUAAUUGAUUAUUUACUUCCAGUUAGUAGUAACUUAAACUUGGCGGCAAACUGGUUAAAUACUUGGCUGUGAUCACGUUUGUGGUUGGUGUGCGAGCAAGCAAAAUCAGAAAUGAUCCCAAUUGAUCAUAUUACUUUUGUGUUUGCUAGAAUUGUCCAUGGACAUUUAAUCUGUUUUGUGUAUAGUAGGUAAAAUAGCAGAGUACACCAAUUACCAUUUUGUCUGCUGACGUACACUUCCAAAGACCUUUUAGCGCGGAGUUCAUAUAGUUACACAGUGCUUUUUGGCUUACAUAUCAUACAGUUAUGCAGUGCUCCCUACACUGUCUGUUUACUAUAUAUAUCAUUCAUGUAUUCUUGGAUAGUACUGACUACAUACCAGGGCGAAUUAACUACAAUUUGCCACAAUUUGCAGCGGCUGUGCUCCACCAGCUAUUUUGUGGUUCUUGUAAUCAGGGGAGUUCCUCCCAAGACAGGGCCCUCCCUCUUCUGCUUCUUCUACUACCUACUAUUGCUGCUGUUGCUGAUUGGUCUAUGCACGUGGGCCCGAGCACAUAACACGGCAGUUGUGGCUGCACGGUUGGCUGAGGCAUCCGCACCGAGAGCCUCCGUGAGCUAUCACUCCGACCAUUAUGCAGGUCACUGACGGAUUACCAAGUUAGGCCAAAAGCCUAAGCUUGGGGGGUACGUAUUUCUCACCGACAUUACUUUCAUGUUCACACAUUUUAUU